CCCGUCUACACUUUUAUCUCCUGAAAAACUACUCCCUUAGUUGUGUUUCCUCAAUGCAUUUUCUCUAAAAAAAGAUUACACUUAUUAUAGGGUCUCUGUAACAACAACAUAGUGCUUAACACUGCCAUUUAAGUAUUUUUUUUCUUAGCAAAUAGAAAAAUUAGAAGUUAAGACACCUAAUUUUAAGAAAAUAAGAUUGAUCUGAAAGUAAAUGCUAAUAUAACCAACCUCUCAUGUCCUCCUCAACACUGCAGUCAGCUGUAUCUGAGAUCUGGAUGAGCUGAGACACAAAACCUACUGAAGUAUCGAGAAUAAACAGCUUCAGUGUCUGCUUUAGGGUAUGGAAAGCAGAAACUGAGCAAAACCCGAGGAAAGAAACAGUCAUCAUUAAACGCUUUCCAUCUUCAAAACACAUAAAAUGGGAAAUGAUAACUCUGGUGAACAUAGAGAACGUAGAAGGGCUGAAGAAGCUGGGGAGGGAAAAAGGAGAAUGGAAUUACAGAGAGCGAGACAGGAGCAAACAGCAGCGGAGGAAUGAUGCAGAAUCCGAACCGAAAAACAAGCACUCCAGGAACAAUACAAUAGAGUUCAAAAUGAAAGAAAUAUACAGAGAUUGAGAGAAGAAGAGAAGAAGAAAAUCGACAGCGAGAACAGAUUUAAAGAGGAAGAAGAAAGGAAAAGAAUUAACAUAGAGAAGCAAAAUGCACAGAAAGAAAACACUAACAAGCCAGUUAGUUAAACCAUUUCUAUGGUUUAUUAACAGGAUAUAUUUUUAAUUUCUAUUCAUCAUCCAGAAAGAUAGAUGCACAUCACCUAAAACAUUGUGAAGAUUUUAUUUUUCUUCUUCCGUAUGUCUACUGUAAAGAACUUUGUAAACUUUUGUUUUAAAAAAUAAAGUUCUACAUCUUAUUUUCACCACCAAAGAAGAGUAUGAAUUUGUUUUUGUUUUUUUUGUUUUUUUACAGGCAUGAGAAAUUAUCAACAUAUUUGUUUUGCCAUUGACCUAGUAAUUGAUCCUGAAAUACACUUUAAAAUCAUAAAAUACAGUUAUGUUUU
ensembl:lncRNA